GACAGGUGAGCAGAGGGCCUGAUUGACGUGUGUAUCAGGUGCUGACAGGCGUUGUGAUCUAAAGCACCGCAGCAGGAGAGGUGCACCAUGGGUCCUGACAGCUGCCUGUGUGCAUGGCCCGUCCGGCGACUUGUAUCGGCACGUUCGCUGGCUCCAUAUAAAACACACACCGUGAAACCAGGGUGUACCAUGCCUUCUACAAGCCUCUGGAGUUCACUGUGGCUGAGAGAGAUGCCAGCCAGUGUUACAUAAAGGUGGUGUGUAAGCGGGGUGGAGACCAGAGAAUCCUCGGCCUGCACUUCACUGGCCCCAACGCUGGAGAAGUUACCCAGGGCUUUGCUAUGGGCUUCCAAUGCGGGGCCACCCUCACUCACCUGAAGGAGACCGUGGGGAUCCACCCCACUUGUGCCGAGGAGCUGACCAAAGUCAACGUCAGCAAGCGCUCAGGGCUGGACGCCACGGUUACCGGCUGCUGAGGUUAAGCACCCCCUUCUCUGAACACACCUGAGCACACGGGAAGGAACCUCCUCGUAGAGACAGGGAAUGUGUCCCUAAUGUCACCCUCCUCCCUAUGUAGUGCACUACGUUCAACCAGGGCCCAUAGGGCUCUGGUCAAAAGUAGUGCACUAGAAAGGCAUUAUGGUCCCAUUAGAGACGCAUACAGGGAAGUAAUUGUAAUGCAUAUAUAUAGCUCUGGUUGCAACACUUGUCUCCUAGCCACCUCAUAACGGUCCAUGUAAAACCUGUAGAAGCACGCUCUGCUUUCCCUGACAUCCCAGUUCCUCUGGAUUUCAGGUCUCCACUCCGUCUUAUCAUUGCAGGGUCCUCCAGGUCAUGACUGCAAUGCCAAAUCUAGGUAAAGCUAGAUCUGUGUCAGGUUUGACUAGUGGUCACAUUAACCAGGCCAUGGUUACCCAAUGUAGCCCCUUAAUGUAUGUAGUAUGUCCCCUUCUCCCUCUGAAAGCCAUAAGGAGUUCUAGACCCACGUUCGUGAAAACGUCCAGACACAAGCAGCAUCCUUUAAAUAAACUGGCUCAUAAAUCAGAAUUAGGACCCAUUCCAGUUUGUUGAAAAAUAACUGUAUAAGAGAGAGAAAGCUGGGCAACUAAUGUUUCUGAAAUAUAUUCAGAAAAUAUUGUUGUUUCUCCUCCUGUUCUUCCUGUCCAUUAGUCUUGAAAGUGACAUAUGCGUUGCCCGGGUGACACUGAUGGAUGGGCCAAGGGCCGUCGCCGCGGUGACACUACCCGUUUCCCAUGGACACACACAAACAGUCGGCGGGCAGGCUGUCAGUCAGAGAGGUGCAGAGCAGCACAGGGCCCGGUCUGGGCCAGAGUGCAGAGCCCUUGAUUAGGCCUCCACUCAUUCCAGCACUCUGCUC
rnacentral:lncRNA from 1 species